GUUCAAAUGGCUUAAAAACAGAAAAAAUGAAUGGAAGAUUAGAUAAAUCUACCUUUACAGAACACACAAAAAUACAUAUCUAAAAAUAAAAGAUCUACCUUUAAAUUAGUGGAAGAUGAGUACCAUCUAAUUAAAAACCUGCAAAAAAAAAAAAUAGAUUAGUAACAAAGACAUGAGACAAAAUUGAAAAAUUCAUAUAAACUUUGGUGUUUUCAAGUCAAAGAGAUUAGAGUGGGUUUGGAGAGUUUUAGUUUGGGAAAAAAGUAAGAACUUUAUACAACAAGAAGUUACCAAAUAAAGAAAAAUCAG
rnacentral:lncRNA from 1 species